GUCUAAGUAUUCACUUUUUUUGAAACUAUCUUUUCCACUGUAGCUGAAUUUAAUGGCAGUCGAAAUUCAAGGAGUCAAUGCAGAUAAAUGUGUUGGCAGCUCAAGAAACAUGCUGGUAAACUAACCUGAUGGUCAUUAAAAAAUUAAUUUAAAUAAAAGCUUAUGAGGGUCACUAUAACCCCCACAUUAGUACAAGGGAGGUUUUAACCCCGUCUCAUGCCCCACUAACCAUGCAUGUCAACUAAAC